AGCCAUAAAUUGACAACACACAAGUUCCUGGGCCAUGCAUGCCAUAUAAAUUGACUACAACAUUUCCUGGGCUAUUCUCAACGUAAGGUAAGAAAGACUCAGUCUCAACAGAUACUACUCAAGUGGAAAAUAAAGAAUUAAAAAUGGGAGGAUCGCUUGACACACAAAAUAGAUCAAUCACACACGAGGCUACCGAGGAAGUUGCUACCAAGAAAGUAGAUACUGAGGAGGCCACUACUGAAGCCAUGGCUACUCCAAAACAGCCUGCCCCCGGUCAUCAUACAAAAAUGGGCACAGAUUCAGAGCAAACAAAACAACAAGAAAAGGAUCCCACACCGAGGCAUCUUACAAUUCACGUCA